UACGAGGGAUGCAAGCGUUAUCCGGAAUUAUUGGGCGUAAAGCGUUUGUAGGCGGGCGAGUGUGUUUAAUGUUAAAUCUUAAAGCUCAACUUUGAAAUUGCGUUAAAAACUGCUUGUCUUGAGUAUGGUAGGGGUAAAGGGAAUUCCCAGUGUAGCGGUGAAAUGCGUAGAUAUUGGGAAGAACACUAAACAGCGAAGGCACUUUACUAGGCUAAUACUGACGCUGAGAAACGAAAGGUAGGGUAGCGAAACGGAUUAGAUACCCGUGUAGUCUUACCCGUAAACUAUGGACACUAAACGGUAAAUUUUUAAUUUACUGUUAAAGCUAACGCGUUAAGUGUCCCGCCUGGGGAGUAUGCUUGCAAAAGUGAAACUCAAAGGAAUUGACGGGGGCCCGCACAAGCGGUGGAGCAUGUGGUUUAAUUCGACGGUACACGAAGAACCUUACCAGGAUUUGACAUGCUAGAUAGUUGCUUGAAAGAGUAACGUGCCGUAAGGAAUCUAGACACAGGUGGUGCAUGGCUGUCGUCAGUUCGUGUUGUGAAAUGUUGGGUUAAGUCCCGCAACGAACGCAACCCUUGUCUUUAGUUAUUUUCUAAAGAGACUGCCUGUAAUAAACAGGAGGAAGGUAAGGAUGAGGUCAAGUCAUCAUGCCCCUUAUGUCCUGGGCUACACACGUGCUACAAUGGGAAAGACAAUGAGCUGCAAAUCUGUAAAUUUAAGCAAAUCUCUUAAACUUUCUCGUAGUUCGGAUUGUGGGCUGCAACUCGCCCACAUGAAGUUGGAAUCGCUAGUAAUCGCCAGUCAGCUAUAUGGCGGUGAAUCCGUUCCCGGGCCU
rnacentral:rRNA from 1 species